UUCAUUUUGCAUAUAUCAGGAGAAGUAGAGUAAAAAGAUUGCAUUGACCCAGACAAAUAAUUGUGGCCCUGGGGUUUGGUUUCGGAGAAACGAGAAAGAAGGGAAACUUUUCGAAGGCUUUUUCUCUCUCGCCACUUUAUGUUUCUGGGUGAAUCAUGUUACUCUGCAUAUUCAAGCUUCCUUCCACUUAUUUCCCAUUAGAGUCCCACACCGUAUAGUUUAACUGAAGGUUCAGUGUUUAUAAGGAUGUAGACUGCAUCUUGGCUUGUCCCUUCGGGGACAUCCGAUAAAAUUGGAACGAUACAGAGAAGAUUAGCAUGGCCCCUGCGCAAGGAUGACACGCACAAAUCGAGAAAUGGUCUAAAUUUUUUUUUCUCACUUCAGUAUAUUAUUGUUGCUAAGGCGUAAUGAUCAGAAGUUUCAACACAGUCGACCUUUGAAGUGUUUGUUUAACGGGUCAAUGUUCAAAUAUAUUGUUCAGGUUUGAAUGAUUUUUACAGGGCAUUCGUGAAAUUCUAGUAUUCAGAGACACUGUUCCACACAUGGCCCCAGCAACCAAUUUGAACAAAUGAGUUUCUCUUGAAUGGUAUGUUUGAAGAAAUGAAUGAAAGCAAACAAUGGAUGUAAUUCAGCACCACGAUGAGCUCCAGAGACAACACACCAUGUUUGCCACAAAGCCAAUCCAUCUCCUUCCUCUAAAAUCUUUCUUGGCCAAACCUUCCCACAUAUUUCCUUUCAACUUUUCAUAAUCAAAAUAAAUAAUCUCAUCGAAAGCAUCUUCAGAUUGCAAGCAAAAAGAAACUAGUUGGACAGGAACUAUUCACCAUGCAAACAGCUAAUAUAGUCCCACACCGAAAUAGCUAUGAAGAGAAAGUAUGUUUAUAAAUGAUCAGCUGGAACACCUGGUCACGACCUUACUUGAACAGGAUCUGUUCUAUAGGCUCGUACCUCUGUAUCCUUAAGUUCUAAGGAGACAGGAACUGAAGUCUGGUGGAUGAUCCAUGACCCUGUGAUCAGAGCGUGAUUAACGGUAGUGUUGACUCAGUUUACGGACUGUCCUCAUCACCAACUGUAGAGGAUCGUUCCCGUUCUAGUGAAUUGGGAUGGUCGCAGGGUUGUCUGACAGACUCCCCCAUAA